rnacentral:ncRNA from 2 species
CCCGCUUCCUAGGGGAGCCCAAUGUACUAAGGCUGAGAUUCUACUAACGGAGUGUUUACUGCACUCUUGUUGUUAAAAGUAGUAACCCUUUGAACCUGAUAAAGUUAAUGCUUGCGCAGGGAAGGAGGUAGCCACUGGU